UACAGAGGUCCCAAGCGUUGUUCGGAUUCACUGGGCGUAAAGGGUGCGUAGGCGGUCGGGUAAGUCUGAUGUGAAAUCUCACAGCUUAACUGUGAAACUGCAUUGGAUACUAUCCGGCUCGAGGAAUGGAGGGGAGACUGGAAUACUUGGUGUAGCAGUGAAAUGCUUAGAUAUGACAUAGAACACCAAUUGCGAAGGCAGCUCGCUACACGGUUAUUGACACUGAGGCACGAAAGCGUGGGGAGCAAACAGG
rnacentral:rRNA from 1 species